CACGUAGGGUGCGAGCGUUGUCCGGAAUUAUUGGGCGUAAAGAGCUCGUAGGCGGUGUGUCGCGUCGGCCGUGAAAACUUGCAGCUUAACUGUGAGCUUGCGGUCGAUACGGGCAUCACUAGAGUUCGGCAGGGGAGACUGGAAUUCCUGGUGUAGCGGUGAAAUGCGCAGAUAUCAGGAGGAACACCGGUGGCGAAGGCGGGUCUCUGGGCCGAUACUGACGCUGAGGAGCGAAAGCGUGGGGAGUGAACAGG
rnacentral:rRNA from 1 species